GAUGAACGCUGGCGGCGUGCCUAAUACAUGCAAGUCGAGCGGAGGUGCGAGAAGCUUGCUUCUCUUAGCUUAGCGGCGGACGGGUGAGUAACGCGUGGAUAACCUACCUAUGAGAGGGGGAUAACUGCUGGAAACCGGUGCUAAUACCGGAUAAGAUUUUGAUCCGGCAUGUUCAAGAGUGAAAAGCGGUCUUUCGGUCACGGAUAGAUUGAUGCGCACUGCAUUAGCUAGUGGGUAAGGUAACGGCUUACCAGAGUAACGAUGCAUAGACGACAUGAGAGCGACAUCGGCCAGACGGGCAGUGAGACACGGCGCAGACUCUUACGCUAGGACGCAGUAGGGACUCCUACGCGAUGGGGGAAAGCCUGAUAGAGCACCGCCGCGGGAGCGAUGAAGGUCCUCGGACCGGAAAACUAUGUUAGUAGGCAAGAACAUAUGUCCAAGCAACUGUGCAGAUCUUGACGGUACCUAACCAGAAAGCCCCGGCUAACUACGUG
rnacentral:rRNA from 1 species